GAAGUGGGAAAAGCUCAAAUUUAAAAUCUGGCAGUCUGAAUUUACUUCUUUGGCUGUCCGAGUUGUAAUCUAGAGAAGUGCUACCUGUACUGGACCAUGUACAAGUCUCCUGGGAUGGAGCAUCACAGAGGGUGAGAAUCCCGUCUAUGACAUGGACUACCAGUGUGUUGUGGAGUACUUUCAAAGAGUCGAGUUGUUUGGGAAUGCAGCUCUAAAUGGGUGGUAAACUCCAUCUAAAGCUAAAUAUUGGCGAGAGACCGAUAGCGAACAAGUACCGUGAGGGAAAGAUGAAAAGGACUUUGGAAAGAGAGUUAAACAGUACGUGAAAUUGUUGAAAGGGAAACACUUGAUGUCAGUUGUGUUAGCUGGGGAUCAGCCUAGCUUUUUCGCUUGGCGCAUUUCCUGGUCUGACAGGCCAACAUCAGUUUCGGCUGCUGGAGAAAGGCAGACGGAAUGUGGCACCUUUGGGUGUGUUAUAGCUUUCUGUCAGAUGUAGCAGCGGGGACUGAGGUAUGCAGUGCGCCGUAAGGCAGGGUUUCGACCACACUCGCACUUAGGAUGUUGGUUUAAUGGCAUCAAUUGACCCGUCUUGAAACACGGACCAAGGAGUCUAACAUGCCUGCGAGUAUUUGGGUGAUAAACCCUUGUGCAUAAUGAAAGUGAAAAUUGAGAUCCCUGUCAUGGGGAGCAUUGAUGCCCGGACUUGAGCUUUUAGCGAUGGAUCUGCGGUAAAGCAUGCAUGUUGGGACCCGAAAGAUGGUGAACUAUGCCUGAAUAGGGCAAAGCCAGAGGAAACUCUGGUGGAGGCUCGUAGCGAUUCUGACGUGCAAAUCGAUCGUCGAAUUUGGGUAU
rnacentral:rRNA from 1 species